rnacentral:rRNA from 1 species
UACGUAGGGGGCGAGCGUUGUCCGGAGUUACUGGGCGUAAAGGGCAUGCAGGCGGUCGGACGCGUUUCGGGUGACAGCGGGUGGCUUAACUACCCGAGUGGUCGAAAGACGGUUUGACUUGAGGACGCGAGAGGGACACGGAAUUCCGGGUGUAGUGGUGAAAUGCGUAGAGAUCCGGAGGAACACCAGUGGCGAAGGCGACACGCUGGGCCGUACCUGACGCUAAAGCGCGACAGCAUGGGGAGCAAACGGG